GCAUAAUCAUUUGCCUUUUAAUUGGAGGCUGGAAUGAAGGGAUAUAUGAGAUUAGAGCUGUCUCUACCUCACUUAUAUAAAUUAUCUUUUAGGUGAAGAGACCUGAAUUUUAAUGAAAGACAAAAAGACCCUAUUGAGCUUUAUUCUUAUGAGUGAUUAUAUAGAUUAUUUAUUUUAGUACUCUAUUGAAUUUGGUUGGGGCGACAAAGGAAUAUAUGUAUUGAAAAUCUUCCUAGGGUAUAAGGAAUUUUUUUCUUUUAAAAGAUCUAUUUAGAUGAUAAAGAGAACUAGUUACCAUAGGGAUAACAGGCUAAUCUCUUCGGAGAGUUCAAAUUGAUGAAGGGGGUUGGCACCUCGAUGUUGGCUUAAGAUAUCCUAAUGAUGUAGUAGUCAUUAAGGGUUGGUUUGUUCAACCAUUAAAAUCUU
rnacentral:rRNA from 1 species